UGCUAAUAGAUUGUAAACCAAUAAAAGCAAGAUGAAGAUAUUUUAUUCUACUAUCACCUCUCUAGUGCUAGCCACAGUACUGGUUCAAAGUAGGCUAGAUAGCUGAUUUAUGGAAAUUAAUGCACAUACAGAUCAAUGUACAAAUGAAUGCAUGGAUACAUGGAUGACUCCUCAAGGUUUAUAAUGUUUUCAGAUCUAACACAUUAGAUUUUAAAUUAAAAAAAAAAAACAAUGAAAAGUGGCUAUUCUCGGAGUAUUAGGGAGUCAUGUGGGCGGUCAUGUUAAAGCUAAAUUUCACUUAUUUAUUUUUUGAUUUUAUUUAGUUUCCUUGCAGAGUAACACCUGUGAACUAUUCAGACUAAUUAGCAUCACCUGGUGGUGAUUGCUUGAGGAACGUGUACGAAUUAAAUACUUGAUUGGAUGACUGUUCAAGAUCUUUUUUAUCCCCCCAAACAUUUUCCUUUGUAAAUAAUCAGCAUUUUCAUGUGUACGUUGCCUUCUUGUUCUCUCAUUUACGGAAUUUGACGAGCUGUGACACGUUUUCUCUUGGAAUCAGCUUAAAGCGCGCUAUCAGCUUCAGUCAUUUGCCAAAGCUCCGUGUUGGCCAUGGAACGCACAGCAGGAAAGGUUUCAAGGUGAAAAGGGCAAUCGCGGAGUUUCUUAGGCCUGAGAGCCUGUCACUGCUGUGUCCUUCCCCCUCUCUGCUGCUCCAGGAGGACACCCCGACACCCCUCCUCUUACCAGUUUGCAGCUUGCUCACCCACUUAUCUCACAUAGCCGUGCGCUUUGGACAUGAGGAAGAGAUGGAGCAGGUGGAAGAAAAGGCUAAUGUUUUCUUCAAAUUCACAUAGAAACCAUGAGAAAAAGAUAAAAUGGCAGCAUUCCUAGAAGAUGGCAAGGUGGUAAUUCCCAAAACACUUCCUCAUACACCAUCUGCAUGCCAAUUGUCUCUCAAACUCCACUUCUUGGAGCAUACACAUGCCACCCUAAGACUCUAAUAGGCAUAUUAACUCAAAAUGGAAGAAAUGAAGACCUGUGACAUGACUGGUGAAGCCUGUUACUUUGAGGAAGAACAACCAAAGAUGGUCAGCGAUACCAGGAGUGACCAUAGAAAGGAAAAAAUACAAUGAUCUAUCUGGAUUUUGGCAAAGGAAGACAACAUGGAUUAUAUUCUUGCAGUUGAACAGAAUAUUAACAAAGAUUCUCUGGCUCAUUUGGAGAGGAUGGAAUUAAUUCACCAAGGAAAGGGUCGCUAUAGGCAAGAUUCCACAAAUAAAGGGAGAGAAAUGCAGAUUAUGGUUUAAAAAAAUUAACUAGAGAAUGGGAUGUUAACCUCCAGCUGGGGAAGUAAUUAUAUUAUAAUGGUGAUGGAGAAAACUAUCAGCCAAAGAAAUGAACCUGAACUGAAAUGUUUCUAAAUGGCAAGUAACUUUGGUUACCUUUUGGUUUGCAUGUGCUUCAUUUUAUAUUCACUACUCUGUGAUCCUGGGACUCAGCAGAGACUAGAAUUGAGCAUUCUGCUAGACUUGGUCUUGCCACUUAAUAAAGCUUUGUUGAAAUGCAAUUUAAAAAGAUA